UCGCUAGUAAUCGCGAAUCAGAAUGUCGCGGUGAAUACGUUCCCGGGUCUUGUACACACCGCCCGUCACACCACGAGAGUUUACAACACCCGAAGUCAGUGGCCUAACCGCAAGGAGGGAGCUGCCUAAGGGUGGGGUAGAUGAUUGGGGUGAAGUCGUAACAAGGUAUC
rnacentral:rRNA from 1 species